UACAGAGGUGCCGAGCGUUAGGCGGAAUCACUGGGCUUAAAGCGUGUGUAGGCGGACCCGUCAGUGUCUUGUGAAAUCCCACGGCUCAACCGUGGAACGGCUGGGCAUACUGCGGGUCUUGAGACACCUAGGGGCGAGCGGAACAGGCGGUGGAGCGGUGAAAUGCGUAGAUAUCGCCUGGAACGCCGACGGUGAAAACAGCUCGCUGGGGGUGUUCUGACGCUGAGACACGAAAGCCAGGGGAGCGAACGGG
rnacentral:rRNA from 1 species